AAUCUAUGUCUCUUGCGUUGAGAAGAACAUUGAGGUAUAGAAAAAAAAAAAAAAAAAGAAGGAAUUGCUAAGAUAUCAUUUCGGUUGUCAUCUUUUUAUAUUGGUGAUUUGAUUGUUUCUCGUCCAUAU